rnacentral:rRNA from 1 species
GACGAACGCUGGCGGCGUGCUUAACACAUGCAAGUCGAACGGAAAGGCCCUGCUUUUGCGGGGUGCUCGAGUGGCGAACGGGUGAGUAACACGUGAGUAACCUGCCCUUGACUUUGGGAUAUCUUCAGGAAACUGGGGCUAAUACCGGAUAGGAGCUCCUGCUGCAUGGGGGGGGUUGGAAAGUUUCGGCGGUUGGGGAUGGACUCGCGGCUUAUCAGCUUGUUGGGGGGGUAGUGGCUUACCAAGGCUUCGACGGGUAGUCGGCCUGAGAGGGUGACCGGGCACAUUGGGACUGAGGUACGGCGCAGACUCCUACGGGAGGCAGCAGUGGGGAGUAUUGCACAAUGGGCGGAAGCCUGAUGCAGCAACGCCGCGUGCGGGAUGACGGCCUUCGGGCUGUAAACCGCUUUCGCCUGUUACGAAGCGUGAGUGACGGUAAUGGGUAAAGAAGCACCGGCUAACUACGUG